rnacentral:snRNA from 1 species
GAACUGACAUGGCAGGAGAGAUACAACCAUCGAGUAAAUGGCUUUCCAGGGUGAGAGCUAUCAAUUGCGCUCCUGAUACCAUGACUCCCGUUAUGUCCACGAAGGCAGGAAAUUAAACCACAUAAUUAGUGGUAGUCAGGAACUAUGUUAGCACACUCUUUU